AUGACCCACGAAGUCACAAACACACGUCCCCCACGCCCCAUUCUCCCCCACGUCGCUCCCAAUCACGUCUCUCUUGCCAAACCUGAGAAAUUUCACCACCGCCGCUAUACUCCUCAUUCGCCUCGUGCUCGUUGGCCGCAGUCCUGGUCGUGGGAGCACGGCCGCCGGGAUGCCGUACGUACUGGGAGCUCGGCCGCCGGGAUGGGGUAUGGGCUGGGAGCUCGCCGCCAGGAUGGGGAUAGGGUGGGAGCGCGGUGCACGAUUGGAGGAAAAUACGCCGCCGCCGCCGCUCCACUCAUUCACCUUGUGAGUUUCCUUUUCUAUUGGUUGACUUUGACUUUCACGUCGCCGGCAAGGAUAGCGAGGCAGUCGAUCAGGACGGCGAGGGCGAGGGAGGUCGGUGUGGAUGCUGCGGCGGCGGCAGCCUCAUCGCAGGUGACACUGACAUCGAUCGAUCCCUGGAACCCGCCUUCCUGCACUCCAGUGAUGCGACACGCCCAUGCCGCCUCUCCUCCCUCUAAGGCCGAUCUAUUCAACGCAUCAAGGUUUUUGAGCAUACAUUCUGGAUCAUACGCCUCGCAGGCAUUCAAUAACUUGCAGGAUAUACUCAGAGGUUUGACUUGGCGACUUGGCUGA
rnacentral:rRNA from 1 species